UACGAAGGGUGCAAGCGUUACUCGGAAUUACUGGGCGUAAAGCGUGCGUAGGUGGUUUGUUAAGUCUGAUGUGAAAGCCCUGGGCUCAACCUGGGAAUGGCAUUGGAUACUGGCGAGCUAGAGUGCGGGAGAGGAGCGCGGAAUUCCCGGUGUAGCGGUGAAAUGCGUAGAGAUCGGGAGGAAGGCCGGUGGCGAAGGCGGCGCUCUGGAACGGCCCUGACACUGAGGCUCGAAAGCGUGGGGAGCAAACAGG
rnacentral:rRNA from 1 species